UUUGCUGCGUUAAACUUGGAUAGCGAUACCUCUUGGCAACUUGCGACACUGGGUUAAGAUGAGGGAAGAAGGUAAUUAAAUCGUGGUGUUUAACGUCAGUGAAUGUGAAACCGAUUGAGCUCAGCCGCCACACUGUUAUACGUAUGUCUGACGAUUGGAAGAUGUCUCAUUAUUUGUUUUCAUUUGUCAGACACGAGUCAUGUGCACGCGAUCAAUUAAAAGUAUCACUGGCAACAUUUUUAUUACAAUUUAGCGGUUAAAAAAAUAAUUCAACACUUCUCAACUGGCAUUUGCGUACGUGACGUGUUUUGUAUUUAUUUUGUUGGACGAUAGGGAUAUUGUUGCGCGAAAUUCCAAGUGAAGAAAAGUAUUCACGUGAUAUUUUAAAUUGGUUGAAACGAGGUCGACUCGGGAAACGACCAGUUUAACCACCAACUCGAGUGCCUCACGCUGCAAAACUUGUUUCUAAAAAAUUUAGUGAAAUACACUUGGCAAGCAUGUGCGGCUGCCAUAUAAUAAGUGAGCGUUGGGGCGAGGACGACGAAAAGGAUGACGGACGGCGUGACUCGGCUGUAAUUGGAGGAUGAACUUUCUGCUAGGAUAAUUAGACGUUACUGAAGAAGAAAAGGCAACGAGCAGCAGCAGCAGCAGCAGCAACAGCAACAGCAGUAGUAGUGAGUGAGUACAGAAGGUACUGAGAGUAUAACGUCGUCACUGGGCGCGCUGAUGCGAGCAAUAGGAGUACGAGUUACGCGCGACGCUCCACUGUAAUGCAUCUCACACGCAUCGCAGACACAGUUACGAAGACCUAUUUUCAAUCCGAACUCUGCACAAUCAGCAUUCUAUAUGCGACUUUGACUCUGAUGGCUUCCACCCUUGUAAUGAUACUGUGAGACCUGCGGGCGCCAUUUCUCCCUACUCGAAGCGAGGUAGCCAUCGUUGUCCAAAACCCCUCAUUGGGGAAUGGGGUAUAAUCCUGCAAUUAUCAGCACGUACUAGCUUGAUUUCGUGAUAGUACAAGAGACUUUGGGCAUAUCGUUUUCCCAUCUGUCCUUUCAGCGAUGGACUCUAUGUAUUAAUAUCGCUAUAGGUGCACCAGGGCUAUGUGAUUUAAUUUUUUUUUCAUUGCAUUCAAUGUCUCUUCCUUCCACAGAAACCCAUAUGGACUUACUCACAUCCCCAACCAUCGUUGCCACCACCGUCGCCGCUUUGCUUCAUAAUUUAUUGCAUUCGUGAAAAUUCGUGUGCGCCAUCUAUUAACCGGCCAUCUUGUGCACUUAUCUCCCAGCCCAAGAGUGAGAAGAUAAGGCAUACUAUAUAAGCGAAUGGAUAUAUGCUGGCCUGCUGGCGAGUUCUUCGACCCUGCCACGACCUUGAAUUCCUUCGGCAGCCAAAAAAGGCGAGGACCGCCAUCAAAAAGAAUAUAAACAGCGAGGUAUGAAGGUGUGGGGGGGAAUAAUAAACAAUAAGGUAUUUAAGUGAAAAUUCGACAAUUUGAAAAUGUUCAGAGGUUGAUAAAUUAUAUGUGGUUGUAGCCGGGGCUCGAUUGACAGAUCAAUGAGUGGUGCUAAUUUAACGAAGCAUAAAUAAAGCUUCUGAAGGUGUUGUGUCGGUGGUGGAAUGGCGGGACACGGGCAUUGGAGAAAUAGUGUAUGCGGGCUCCCUCAUACCAGUUGUUUAUAUAGAAAAAAGAAAAGCAGAGUGGAGGUGAGUGAGCUUGGUCGUUUCAGAAUGACAAGUUCAUUUUAUUAAGACGCCUUUGCAGGGCGCAUUAUCGUUUUCGCAUGUUAUUUGCGUCGAGAAAGGGGGAAUGAGGCAAAACCGUAAGAGAAAAACAUACUAAAGCCCAA